CAAGAUUCUUCUUCCAGAAUUCUAGUAUCAUUCCAAGGCUGGACUCUUCAGAAGUGAUUGCCUGCAAAUUUAGGAUGAGAACAAAAUCACAGUUCAAGAGCUGGAGAUCAGAUAGGGCGGGAUGACUUUGGACUUUGAAAUCAGAGAAGCCUGGACUUGAGACCCAAAUCCAUCACCUCCAAGGUGGAGUUUCCCUCUGUCACCCAGGCUGGAGUGCAGUGGUGUGAUGUUGGCUCACUGCAACCUCCACCCCCCGGGUUUCAAGCAAUUCUCCUGCCUCAGCCUCCUGAGUAGCUGGGAUUAUAGGCGCCCGCCACCAUGCCUGGCUAAUUUUUGUAUUUUUAGUAGAGAUGGGGUUUCACUAUGUUGGCCAGGCUGGUCUCGAACUGCUGAUCUCAGGUGAUCGCCCGCCUCAGCCUCCCAAAGUGCUAGGAUUAUAGGCGUGAGCCACCACGCCUAGCCUACCCUAAUAUACUUUCUAUGAGAGUUGUACUUUGAAUUUUUCCGCUUUACUAAAGUACUUCUGAUCUGACCACCAUACUUUUAGGGCUUGAAGCUUUGUUUCCAGAGCCAAAAAUAUGUGCCCAGUAAAAAUCCAAGCCCUGAGCCAUCAGGAAUUGACAGACGCCCUCAGAUUAAAAACAAACUCUAGAUGGAGCUUGCUGCUGUUGAAUCACUCUUCAUUCUUUGGCCUCCAAUUCUUUCUAUUACUAGAGCUCAGGCUUAUUUAUUUAAAGCUUGUCAUAUUUUAUCUAGCAUUUCAGGUGUUCCACACCAUGAGGGAUUUCUCUGUAUAUUUAAUCUGGCAAAUUGAUUAAAAUAUAAAAUGUG
rnacentral:lncRNA from 10 species